GAAGGGCUCGUCACACCUCCGUGGGCCGGGGCGGCGCGGACUCGCGGAGACGCGGAGGCAAGCGCCAGGCGCUGUGUGCGUGAGGCGCUCUGCCCGCCGGCCGAGGCCCGGGGGCUCCAGCUCAGUGAAGUUCCGAGCACCCGAUUUAUCUCUUUACUUGAAGGCAGAAUGACAUGGAGAGCACACACACAGAAAUUUUCCAUUCUGUGGUUCAAUCCCCAAAAGGCUGCAACAGCCAGGGCUGGAGCCAGGAGGAAGCCGGGAAAUCCAUGUGGGUCUCCCAGAUGGGUGACAGGAACCCGAGUACUUGAGCCGUCUUCUGCUCUCCUCCCAGGUUCCUGCUGUUGCGAAGCCAUCCGUCAUGACCAGCAGAUGUCUCUGCCCCGCUCCUGAAUCUCCAGAGCUGUGAAUUAGACUUCAUAAAGUACCCAGCCUCAGGUGCUCUGUUACAGCCACAGAAAACGGACUAGCAGGCAGCUGUGAUGGUGCAGGGGUUAAGCUGCUGCUUGGGAGACCUGCGCCCAGCUACUCUGCUUUUGAUCCAGCUUCCUGCUAGUGUGCGUCCUGGGAGGCAGCAGAUGAUGGCUCGAGCACUUGCGGCUCUGCCACCCAUCUGUGAGACCCAGAUGGAGUUCCAGGCUCCUGACUUGAGACUGGUCCAGCCCCAGCUGUUGUGGGUGUUUUGGAGAGUGAACCUGAGCAUGGAAGAUCUGUGUUUCUCCCUAAUUAAAAAAGAAAGAAAAAAUACAUUAAAAAUCAAAAUGGACUGACACAGGGACAUACUGCUUACGCUGAAUUAUGUAACGUGUGAGGAUGCUUGUACUGCUUGGUCAGUGUGCGUGUACGUGCAUACCUGGGUGACUACACCAGGCUCAAGACACAGAAGCACCUUCUGUGUCCCAGUAGGCUUCCUUGCGUUGGCUCCUGGUUGUGAGACAUCCCCCAGGUAACUGCUACCCUGACCUCUAUCACCAUUGGCUACUUACUGUACGAAUCCUAGAGGUGUCAAUGCAUUGAAACAUUUGGAUGGAAUCCUUUGUGUCUGGAUCGAGUGGCAGGGCCUAUGUCAGAUUCACCACGUUACUGCAUGUAGCACUACUUAGUUCUUUUUAGUCACUCUAGUGUUCCACCACUAUUCAUCCUGUCACUUGUUAGUGCAGACUUGUGUUAUCUCAGGUUUUUGGCCAGCUUUUAAAAAUAAAGCUGCCACAAACAUUCUUGUGCACGUCUUCGGGUGGACGUGAAGAUGCAUCAAAAAGGUCAUGGAAAAAUGGAAUUUAAAGUUUAUUUUGGUGCAUAAAAAUUUUGAAAUCCAUACCUACUGUUUUUUGGUUUUUUUUCAUAAUUUAUAUUUUCCAUGAACUUUUUGAACAGCCCUUGUAUGUUUGUCGUUCUCUUGGGUAUUUACCUAGAGGUAGAAUUGCUGAGUCGUUAUUCCAGAUAGUCAUGUAUUUAACUGAAGUGCAUAUUCUAUUAGUAUGGAAGAAACCGGGAAGAAACACUGGGGGCUGACCAGGAAUCCUGUGAUGUCCCCUUGUCCACACUAGGGUCAAGACCCAUAGCUCUCCACUGAUGUGUACUGCGCUCCCUCACUCUGCUCUUCCCUCUCCCGGUUGCUCCAGAUGCUGUCUCGCCCCUGGGUCUUUCCUCCUCCUCCUCCCUGCCUCCCAACCUUGCCUCACACACAUCACACUCAUCCUUGGAGCUCAGCACACGUGUUGCCGCCUCCCCGCAGUCUCCCCCACUCCUCCAAGCUGGGACCAGUUUCAUCGUGCUGUCUGCUGCUGUGGCGUGCUGUGCCUUGGCAGGUGCAUACAGCACAUUUGCUUUUAUAAUUAUCUCACAGCGUCCCAGACUUGGUAAUGUCAGGACCUCAGAAGUCCAGAAAGCCAUGCGGGAACUCAAAGUCCCACUCCCUAGAUGCCGGGUUCUGCAUCUCUGGGAUUUCCAGGCCUCCAUGUCUCCUGUCAGUCUCUCUAAUGCACUUCCCUCCCUGGUGUACUAUCUUUGCACUUCUGCGUUUCAGAGCACCUGUCUGGCAAAAUCCCAGCCAAAUCCCAAAUGCCCAUGACGCUGAACAUUACCAGGGAAGUUGGGUCCACUGUAAAUUCACCCCGGCACUGCCCAGAAUGUC